rnacentral:rRNA from 1 species
GACGGAGGAUGCAAGCGUUAUCCGGAAUUAUUGGGCGUAAAGCGUCCGCAGGUGGCUGUUCAAGUCUGCUGUCAAAGCGCAGAGCUUAACUCUGUACAGGCGGUGGAAACUGAAGAGCUAGAGUAUGGUAGGGGUAGAGGGAAUUCCCGGUGUAGCGGUGAAAUGCGUAGAGAUCGGGAGGAAUACCUGUGGCGAAGGCGGCCUACUGGGCCGGACCUGACGCUGAGACGCGAAAGCGUGGGGAGCAAACGGG